UACGGGAGGCAGCAGUAGGGAAUCUUCCGCAAUGGACGAAAGUCUGACGGAGCAACGCCGCGUGAACGAUGAAGGCUUUCGGGUCGUAAAGUUCUGUUGUUAGGGAGACAAGUACCAGAGUAACUGCUGGUACCUUGACGGUACCUAACCAGAAAGCCACGGCUAACUACGUGCCAGCAGCCGCGGUAAUACGUAGGUGGCAAGCGUUGUCCGGAAUUAUUGGGCGUAAAGCGCGCGCAGGUGGUUCCUUAAGUCUGAUGUGAAAGCCUACGGCUCAACCGUGGAGGGUCAUUGGAAACUGGGGGACUUGAGUGCAGAAGAGGAAAGUGGAAUUCCACGUGUAGCGGUGAAAUGCGUAGAGAUGUGGAGGAACACCAGUGGCGAAGGCGACUUUUCUGGUCUGUAACUGACACUGAGGCGCGAAAGCGUGGGGAGCGAACAGGGAUUAGAUACC
rnacentral:rRNA from 1 species